CUCACCAAGGUCAGGACACGGUAAGGAUUGACGGACUGAAGGCUCUUUCUCGAUUCCGUGGAAAGUGGUGCAUGGCCGUUUUGGUUGGUGGAUCGAUCCGUCUGGUUAAUUCCGUUAACGAACGAGACCUCGGCACUCCGAAUAGCGCGGCGGACGUCGCGGCCUCCGGGCCGUCUUCCGCACGAGCUUCUUAGAGGGACCGUCCCCCGCCGGGGAAGGAGGUGCGAGGCAACGACAGGUCUGUGAUGCCCUUAGAUGUUCUGGGCCGCACGCGCAUUACACUGACGCGUCCAACGGGUGACUCCCGACCCGAAGGGGCCGGGGAAUCCGCAAGGCGCGUCGUGAUGGGGAUUGAACGUUGCAAUUGUUGUUCACGAACGAGGAAUUCCUAGUAGGCGCGGGGUCAAUCAACCCGCGCCGAUUACGUCCCUGCCCUUUGUACACACCG
rnacentral:rRNA from 1 species